rnacentral:rRNA from 1 species
CUACGUUCGGGAGGGAUAACCGCUGAAAGCAUCUAAGCGGGAAGCCUGCUUCGAGAUGAGUAUUCCCACCUCCUUGAGAGGGUAAGGCUCCCAGUAGACGACUGGGUUGAUAGGCCGGAUAUGGAAGCCCUGUAAGGGGUGGAGUUGACCGGUACUAAUAGGCCGAGGGCUUGUCCUCAGUUG